rnacentral:rRNA from 1 species
AUACGGAUGGUGCGAGCGUUGUUCGGAAUUACUGGGCGUAAAGCGCGCGCAGGCGGUCUUUUAAGUUGGAUGUGAAAGCCUACGGCUCAACCGUAGAACUGCAUCCAAAACUAUUAGACUAGAGUGUGGGAGAGGAAGAUGGAAUUAGUUGUGUAGGGGUAAAAUCCGUAGAGAUACCUAGGAAUACCAAAAGCGAAGGCAAUCUUCUGGAACACUACUGACGCUGAGGCGCGAAAGCGCGGGGAGCAAACAGGAUUAGAUACCCUAGUAGUCC